rnacentral:rRNA from 1 species
UACGUAGGGGGCUAGCGUUGUCCGGAAUCAUUGGGCGUAAAGCGCGUGUAGGCGGCCCGGUAAGUCCGCUGUGAAAGUCGGGGGCUCAACCCUCGGAUGCCGGUGGAUACUGUCGGGCUAGAGUACGGAAGAGGCGAGUGGAAUUCCUGGUGUAGCGGUGAAAUGCGCAGAUAUCAGGAGGAACACCAAUUGCGAAGGCAGCUCGCUGGGACGUUACUGACGCUGAGACGCGAAAGCGUGAGGAGCAAACAGG